rnacentral:rRNA from 1 species
AGAAUCAACGCUGGCGGCGUGCCUAACACAUGCAAGUCGAACGCGAAAGUCCCGAAAGGGGAUAAGUAGAGUGGGCAAACGGGUGAGUAACACGUGGGUGACCUGCCUUCGAGCGGGGGAUAACGUCCCGAAAGGGACGCUAAUACCGCAUAACAUCCUGCCUUUUAAGAGGUGGAGAUCAAAGCCGGGGACCGCAAGGCCUGGCACUUGAAGAGGGGCCCGCGUCUGAUUAGCUAGUUGGUGGGGUAAUGGCCUACCAAGGCAACGAUCAGUA